CUGUGGUUUUAAAAUGUUGACAUAAACUCAAGUAAUGACUUUUUAUGCCAAUGUUUAUUUUGAUUAAUUUAAAAUUGUUGUUAUUUAAUGUUGUUAUAAAGCAAAUUGGAAGACACAAGACUCGGAAGGAUACAUAUAUUACAUUAGUGUAAAAAGAAGAAGAUUACGAACUUGAAAUCUAUGGCCUGAUAGAUUCGUCUUCAUAUGGCCUCACAUGCAGCCCAUGCUUCCCAGGCACGCCGAUCAUUCUUCACGCACGCAGAGAAUGAGAAUUUAACUGAAGAACAACGAAAACGUCGUGCACGUCUCCAUCGAAUUUUGGUUAUUGUCAAGAUUACUAUAUUUCUAGCGAUAUGGUUAUAUUUUACUGUAUUUAUGAUUAUUACUGCACCGUAUGAGGAUCAUGAGAUGGUAGCAUCACUGGAGCCAAA